UACGAAGGGGGCUAGCGUUGCUCGGAAUGACUGGGAGUAAAGGGCGCGUAGGCGGUUUUGACAGUCAGACGUGAAAUUCCUGGGCUCAACCUGGGGGCUGCGUUUGAUACGUCGGGACUGGAGUGCGGAAGAGGGUCGUGGAAUUCCAAGUGUAGAGGUGAAAUUCGUAGAUAUUGGGAAGAACACCGGUGGCGAAGGCGGCGACCUGGUCCGUGACUGACGCUGAGGCGAGAAAGCGUGGGGAGCAAACAGG
rnacentral:rRNA from 1 species